rnacentral:rRNA from 1 species
UGGGGAAUAUUGCACAAUGGGCGCAAGCCUGAUGCAGCCAUGCCGCGUGUGUGAAGAAGGCCUUCGGGUUGUAAAGCACUUUCAGCGGGGAGGAAGGCGUUAAGGUUAAUAACCUUGGCGAUUGACGUUACCCGCAGAAGAAGCACCGGCUAACUCCGUGCCAGCAGCCGCGGUAAUACGGAGGGUGCAAGCGUUAAUCGGAAUUACUGGGCGUAAAGCGCACGCAGGCGGUCUGUCAAGUCGGAUGUGAAAUCCCCGGGCUCAACCUGGGAACUGCAUUCGAAACUGCCAGGCUAGAGUCUUGUAGAGGGGGGUAGAAUUCCAGGUGUAGCGGUGAAAUGCGUAGAGAUCUGGAGGAAUACCGGUGGCGAAGGCGGCCCCCUGGACAAAGACUGACGCUCAGGUGCGAAAGCGUGGGGAGCAAACAGG